rnacentral:rRNA from 1 species
GCACGGGUGAGUAACACGUAUCCAACCUGCCUCAUACUCGGGGAUAGCCUUUCGAAAGAAAGAUUAAUAUCCGAUAGCAUAUAUUUCCCGCAUGGGUUUUAUAUUAAAGAAAUUCGGUAUGAGAUGGGGAUGCGUUCCAUUAGUUUGUUGGCGGGGUAACGGCCCACCAAGACUACGAUGGAUAGGGGUUCUGAGAGGAAGGUCCCCCACAUUGGAACUGAGACACGGUCCAAACUCCUACGGGAGGCAGCAGUGAGGAAUAUUGGUCAAUGGACGCGAGUCUGAACCAGCCAAGUAGCGUGAAGGAUGACUGCCCUAUGGGUUGUAAACUUCUUUUAUAUGGGAAUAAAGUGGUCCACGUGUGGAUUUUUGUAUGUACCAUAUGAAUAAGGAUCGGCUAACUCCGUGCCAGCAGCCGCGGUAAUACGGAGGAUCCGAGCGUUAUCCGGAUUUAUUGGGUUUAAAGGGAGCGUA